UCAGCCAUGUGCCUCAGACUUCUCUGCUGUAUGGCCCUUUUUCUCUGGGGAGCAGGCUCCAUGGACACUAAGGUCACACAGAGUCCUGGACAUCUGAUCAAAGGAAAAGAACAGAAAGCAAAGAUGGAUUGUGUCCCCAUAAAAGGACAUAGUUACAUUUAUUGGUAUCGUCAGAAGCUGGAAGGAGAGUUUGAGUUUUUGGUUUACUUAGAGGAUGAAAAUAUUAUUGAUAAAUCAAAAGUACUCGAUCAGCGAUUCUUAGCUCAAUGCCCCCAAAACUCAGCCUGCAGCCUGCAAAUCAACUCCACUGAGCUAGAGGACUCAGCACUGUAUUUCUGCGCCAGCAGCCAAUCCACAGUGCUGAAUGUGAGCUUUUCUUAGAACACGAACUCAUCCCUCACCCGUCUCAGGAAAUAAGUGGUGUGUUAGGUGCAUAGGAACUAACAGAAACCCAACUUGAAAGAGCAUAAACCAGAAGGAAAAAUGUGUAC